GUUUAAGAUUAUACUAACCCUAAAUGGCUGAUCGAUAACACAAAAUAAUAGGACAGGCAUGAAAAAACGCUAUUUACAGUGAAAUAAGUUCUUUUGCAGAUAUUAGAAUUUAAUUUUAAACUUGAUUUCUUUUUUUUCAGCUAGUAUUUAAUAAAUUUGCUCUUUGCUAUUAGUACCAACUGAUACCACCAUAUAUAGCAAACACUACAAUAUGUCUACCUAUUACAAUACAUACUGUUACCUCAAACAUCUAUAAAUGUUUACAUGCUAAGCAUAACCCUGCAAGUAAUCUUAUAAUUAUGUGAUUGACAGAUUAUACUUAUUACAGCUUCCAACAUGUAAUAGCAAAUGUAACAUGAUGUAAUAAAAUGUAAUAAUGGUAUCAAAUCUCAUUAAUUAUCUCAUUAACGACAGCAUCUUUUGGCGCCCAACGUUUGGACGUUAAUGACGGGACGUCAUUUUUGAAAGAGGGGAAGUAUGUAACCAGGUUGGAUUAUUUACAUAAUCAAGUACUAGUUAUCUCCCUUGGACCAUCAUUGGCAAUUCUCCCGCCUUUUAUUGUUGUUGUAAGCGUCACGUGAGAUCAGUCCCUAGUCAGCUGUAGAGAAGGACGGACAUGUUAAAUUGGUUCCUCUGUUUGAUUAAUUAUCGCGGUGAUGGUCAUUGUUACAGCAUAACAGCACCUUCACGAGAGUGUGUGUUGGACAGUAUACGUAGCAGUUGUAGAGACGGUGUGUGUGUUGAUUCGAUCCACAAUCGGGUCACAACAUUGUCGAUACGUACGAUACUUGUAUUUACAUUUCGGUGUACCCUGCAACCUUAUGCUAUAAACUGUGAAGUAAAUAUGAAUAAAAUGAUGAACUGUA
rnacentral:lncRNA from 1 species